rnacentral:lncRNA from 1 species
UCUCACAGCUAUGUGCCAGCCUGCUCUCAGCAGUUUAAUUGAUUUCAAUGGACUGUACCUUCAAGACUUUAUCAGAGGAAUUUGAAGCCAUGGAAAAGCUGUAAAUUAUACCUGACUUAAGAAGUCAUUGAGGACACUAUGAAGAAUGCCAAUCUCAUUCAUUGCCGAGGAUGUCUAUUGAACAGAGAGCGAUUUAAUAUACGGCUUAUCUUCAAUAUGUCCUGGAAUGAAGAAGAUCAUGCUUUAUACUCUCUCCCACAACAUCUGAUGCAGUGUGUUCUCUUAGGAGAAAGAAGACAGCCAGCAAAACGAGGGAAAGCAAACUGA